rnacentral:lncRNA from 1 species
GGAUAAUAAGGCAAUUCAUUCAUAUGUUUGUUCUGUCUAUAUAUACCUAUUGAGAGCCUACCCUGUGCCAGGCAAUGUUGAAAGUGCUUAGGAAAUAGGAGUGAACAAAACAGACCUGCACCGAAGGAAAUUACAUUCAAGAGAACCAUAAUUUCUUUCGAACAUGGGAGCAUGUCAAUUCCAGAACUGGUGUUUGUUGGCUUCCCCUUUGAGGUAUAGAGUAUCAUAGUUUGACUGUAAAGUCAUAAACGUGUUUAUUCACCUACCUUUCGUAAUGUUUUACCAUUUUCUGUUAAUUAAGGCCUUUUUAUUUUUACUUCCUGAGAUGAUUUGUGCACAUUAGAGAGGAGUAUUUUCCUCCUUCUCUAAGAGCAUAGAGGUUAGGAACCUUAUUAGCUCUGAAGGGUAAGGAUCUGUUACCUUACUUCACUGCAGAUUACAUGAACCAUGUUAUUUUUACUUUAGAAUUUGAUUAGUUUCCCACCCCAGCCUCCAUAUCCUAUCAUAUAUGAAGUUUGUUUAAUUCAACAUUAAAAAUAAAAACAAAAACAGAAUGGACUGGUAAAGGUCAGUGCAGCUUUUAUUGUCCUAUCGUUCUCUCUAGUUGCCUACGGGAAUUUGAUCUGCCCAUUUCACGAAGGUACAUUCCCGUAACGGCCUUCAGCUAUUAGCUUUUCAUUCCGCUUAUUUCCAUGCAGUUGAGGCAUUCUGGAAGAGCUUGACUAGCAGUUGGUGUCUCUAUUGUCUGUAUUAGAAUGUUGUCAGUAACUUAUUACAGGAUCCUAUUGGAUGGUCUGUGUCCUGCUGUAUCACUUUCCAAGCAGAGGUAUAGGUAAUAAAAAUCUCUAUGACCAGGACCUUGGAUUUGGAUAGUUCAAUUAGUUGUUCAGGAAGUCUAUCAAAAAUGUGACUCCAGGUCCCUGAACUCCAGCAUUUUCAUUAUUAGAGUGAAAUGUUAGUGACAAAUGAGGUAUGAUUGUCUAGACACCUCAUCAGCCUGCUGGCUUGCUGCCUGAAGUAAAGGCACAAUUCUAAAAACGUCAGGGUUUUGAUGGGGUUCUAAACAUGUGACUCAAAACCAAGGCCCAUGAAAAAUGGAGGACAUCAUACUUUUGGGGAAAGUAAUAAAAUUCCAUGGUUCUCCGAAAUUGCAUAGUCAGAAUCAAAGCUAACUAAGUAUGGGUUUCAGAAUGUUAGACAUUAAGGUUUAAGAUGAGUUUUCUUAGUAGGUAUGGUUAUAAAUGCAAGGCUUAUUUUAAGAAAAAAUGAUUGGCAACAAUUUAAGUAGAGUGACAAAGUUUUUAUCUAAAUGUGUUUUAUUAAAGUGUUAUAUUUAAAGUAGUGAUUAACGAAUACUAAUGUUUGUUAUAAAUUUUAUGUGUUUGAAUAGACAUUAAAAGUUAAGUUUGUGCUGAAGUACAUGUGAUUCAUGUACUUACACUAGUGGUUCUGCAUGGGAACGGUAUUGCUCUCUAGGGACAUUUUGGUCAUCUGUGGGGUAAUUUUUGGUUAUGAGGAUGUGGAGGAUACUAUGAGCGUAAAGUAAGCAGAGAUACUCAAUUACGUGAAGAAGAAAAAACAAAUUCUUCCGCCUGAAGACUACACUCCCAUGUUUUAAUACCCACUCAUCAUGUAGCUGGAUAACUUGUUUGAAUAUCUGAGCCUAGACCCUAAUUGCAUUUUACAUGUAAACUGAAAAUAUGUUUUGUAUGGCUUUAAACACAGAAUGACUUUUGCAUAACUACAUCUGUUUUCUAAAGUAAGAGAAAAUGGUGCUUUAUUUGUUUGAAAGUUUACCAACAGCUGGUUUCCAUUUCAUAAAAUCAUUUUACUAAUGGCAAUGCCAGUCACGGUUUUUAGUUACCAACUUAACAUACUGUAGCUUUCUUUCUUUGUAGCCAUUUCAUUCAUGGAGAUUGUAUGUACAUUUACAAAUAUAUGACUGCUUCAUUAUAGAAUGCACAGAAUUGAACAUUUAAAUACUCAUUUUAAGUGAAUUUUUCUUGAUUCCUCUAUAUAUGAGAUAGGCAAGUAAAUUUUUCUGUCAACUAGAUUACAUUGUCUAUAAAUUGCAUUUCAGAUAACACGAGAGAAAAAGUAUGUUGUGAAAAGGAUCCGAGUCCUCUAGAAUUGAGAAUCAUCGAUUUAUGUAUUCUCAAACACAAUGCAGCAAGUAUGCAAAUUGUUGGCAAUUUCUUUGAUGAAAAUACAUGGAUUUUAGAAAAAUCCCCUGGCAAAUUCAAAUCUGUAAAUGGGUAGCAAAAUUUUGAGAUGAAAGGCUGAAAAUAAAUCCUGAAGUUAGCAUAAUUAAUUCUUUAAGCAAUUUCAGCUGCAUAUGUAUUAAAUGCCUCAUUAUGUAAGACACCUUGCUAAAUUCUGGGGAGACAAAGACAAAUAUGAAAUAAUUCACUCCUGCUGGGAGUAAAUAUUCCAGUAGAAGAAGCAGCCAAAUAUCUAAGGACUAUUAAUGCAAUGUAAAUAUCUACUAGAGUUUUUUUACAGUUCUGCGAAUGAAUGAAGAAAUUGAGGGGAAACCUGGUGGUGUAAGGCAUACUUUGAAAACUGUUUAGGGGCUUAUGUUCUGGAAACCCUUAAAUACUAUACUAAAAUAAUGUCCUUAGAACAGAAAGAUGAAAAUAAAAUGCUAUUUUAAAAGAGGAAAUGAUAGCAAGAAAAUAUGUGAUGCUAAAUCAUUGACAGUUUGUUAAUAUGUUUUAAAUGAUUUUCAAAGCAGAGUUUGACAUACACCACACUAGCAUUGCCUAAUUAAGAGGGAAAUUAGGUAAGUUUAAGUGUCUGGCAAAUAUUCUCCUUAAUAAAAUUUGUUAUUGUGAGGUUUUUACAGAAAUAUUAAUGAUAAAGAAUGAACUCUGUAGGACUAGUUAUCAUUACUUGUGAUCUCUAAUGUGUAUUGUGUAAUUUGCAUUUUCCCUGGAGAUUCCAAAAAUCAAAUAUUUAGAGAUUAUUCUACUAUUUAAGCUUAUGGCUAUUUAUAAUUGGGUAUAACACUUAUUUAUACUUUGUACUAUCUGUAAAUACAAAGUUAUCUGGGAUAAUUGCAUAGGUAAACACAUUCCAUAAUUAAAAAUUUUAAAUAAAAAAUGUUUUGAGGCCUUUCAGAGCAAUAUUAAUGGAAAUUCAUUUUUCAUUGUUUAUUAAAGCAAAGCCCACUAAACAGACCUACCUAAUUAGUCUGGUAUUCUUUAGUUGGGUUCUCUGCUCAAAAUCCCAUACGUCUGAAAUCAAGGUGUUGUCUGGCUGUGUCCUGAUAUGGAGGCUUAAGUAAAGAUCUACUUCCAAAUUCAUUCGCCUUUGGCAGAAUCUGUUUCCUUGCAAUAGAAGGACUGAAGUCCUCAGUUUCUUGCCGAUGGUCAGCCAAGAACUGCUCUCAGCACAUAGGGGCCACUUUGAGGUCCUUGCUUUGAAGCCCCUGCCAUUUCAGCAAUGGAGAAACUCUCUCAUCACAUUGCUCUCAGUCUUCAAAUGUCUGAAUUCUUCUACUACCAGCCAGGUAAAAAUUCGGUUUUAAAGAGUUCAUGUGAUUGCCAGAUAAUCUACCUAAGUGAAAUUCAACUGAUUAGUAAUUUUAAUCACAUCUGAAAAAAUUUUUUUCCAUGUAAGGUAACAUAGUUACAAAAGUAACAGUACAGCAUAAUCGUCAUGGUGUCAUUUUACAAUUCAGCCUACAAAUCAAUCUUAUCAAAGUGAAAAUCAGAUUAUAAAGUAUACUUUCUCAUUUAUGUAUUGUUUAUAUUUUAAAAAGCCCUUCUUUUGAAUGUGGUAAUGUAAAAUCAUAGUGGCUAUUCUUAUUGCUAAUUGGUGUAUGUAUAUUUUCUGUAUAGAUGCUUAUUUUUUAAGGUGAUCUUUGAAGAUAUUUCUUUCAUUUAGCUCUUUACUAUCACUUGUUUUAAAUAUUAUUAAGGUUAUCAUUUAAUGAACAAUUUAAAAGCUUCGUUUUAUUUUUCCAAUAAAUUAUUAAAGUGGCAUGCUGUGUUGACAUUAUUAUUUCUGAGAAUUUGCAUUCAUACCACAUUAGUAAUUUUACUAGUUGAACCCAUAGUAACAUUCCAAUUUCAUAUUUAAUAUCCUUUAUGGAAACAGUUGUAGUUUUAUAGUUACAGCCAAAUUCAAUGUAGAAAUAUCCUCCUGAAUCCAUCUAUGGUUCAUAGAAUACUAUAUCUUUUGGAGUUCCUGUUGUGGCACAGCAGACACAAACCUGAUUAGUAUCCAUGAGGAUGCCCAUUUGAUAGCAGGCCUCGCUCAGUGGGUUAAGGAUCAGGUGUUGCCAUGAGCUAUGAUGUAGGUUGCAGACGUGGGUUGGAUUUGGCAUUGCUGUGGCUGUGGUGUAGGCUGGCAGCUACAGCUCCUGAUUUGACCCCUAGCCUGAGAACUUCUGUAUGCUGC